CGGGCCAAGUCCCUUGGAACAGGGCGCCCGAGAGGGUGAGAGCCCCGUACGCCCGGCCACCACCGCCGUAAGAAGCUCCUUCGACGAGUCGAGUUGUUUGGGAAUGCAGCUCUAAGCGGGAGGUAAAUUUCUUCUAAAGCUAAAUACUGGCCAGAGACCGAUAGCGCACAAGUAGAGUGAUCGAAAGAUGAAAAGCACUUUGGAAAGAGAGUUAAAAAGCACGUGAAAUUGUUGAAAGGGAAGCUCUUGCUGUCAGACUUGUCGUGGUUGUUCAGCCGCCCCCCGGGGCGGUGUACUCUUCCGCGGCGGGCCAGCAUCAGCUCUGGCGGCCGGACAAAGGCCUUGGGAAUGUAGCCCCCCUCGGGGGGUGUUAUAGCCCGGGGCGUAAUGCGGCCAGCCGGGGCUGAGGGAAGCGUUUUUGCUAGGAUGCUGGCGUAAUGGCAGCAAGCGACCCGUCUUGAAACACGGACCAAGGAGUCUAACAUCUGUGCGAGUGUUUGGGUGUUAAACCCAUGCGCGUAAUGAAAGUGAACGGAGGUGGGAACCCCCUCGGGGUGCACCAUCGACCGAUCCUGAUGUCUUCGGAUGGAUUUGAGUAAGAGCAUAGCUGUUGGGACCCGAAAGAUGGUGAACUAUGCGUAGAUAGGGUGAAGCCAGAGGAAACUCUGGUGGAGGCUCGCAGCGGUUCUGACGUGCAAAUCGAUCGUCAAAUCUGCGUAUAGGGGCGAAAGACUAAUCGAACCAUGAGAGACUACUAGGUGGUUAAGAGGCCGCGAGGCGGGGGGGUUAGUAGAGGCGUCUAGCUCGCCCCCCCUCCCUACGCCGUGCCUAGUCCUGGAGCUCCUAGGGCUCCUAGGGCCACAUCGACAAACUGCGGGGACAUCCCCGAUCGGGGCCCCUCGGGCUACUAAGCCUCCGCUGCACAUGCGGGGUGGCCGCGGCUAACGACCGUGGGUAUAGUAGAAACGCCCGGGGCCUUUAUAGGGACGAUCCGCAGCUGAGUCCCCGUCGCCUACGCGGCGGGUGACCCGGUUCACAGACUAAACGUCGAUGGGUGGUCCCCCCAACUCUACCGGGGGCGACCGCUUGAGAUAUAGUCGACACCGCGGCGGGCAAGCCGCGGCCCCCAAAACGGCGUACGCGAACCUAGGAGCUAGUAGCUGGUUCACGCCGAAGUUUCCCUCAGGAUAGCAGUAACGUUUUCAGUUUUAUGAGGUAAAGCGAAUGAUUAGAAGCCUUGGGGGCGUAACGCCCUUAACUUAUUCUCAAACUUUAAAUAUGUAAGAAGUCCUUGUUGCUUAGUUGAACGGGGACAAUUGAAUGCACCGUUACUAGUGGGCCAUUUUUGGUAAGCAGAACUGGCGAUGCGGGAUGAACCGAACGCGGGGUUAAGGUGCCGGAAUGCACGCUCAUCAGACACCACAAAAGGUGUUAGUUCAUCUAGACAGCAGGACGGUGGCCAUGGAAGUCGGAAUCCGCUAAGGAGUGUGUAACAACUCACCUGCCGAAUGAACUAGCCCUGAAAAUGGAUGGCGCUCAAGCGUGCUACCAAUACCCCGCCGCCGGGGCAGGAACGAUGCCCCGGCGAGUAGGCGUGCGUGGGGGU
rnacentral:rRNA from 1 species